rnacentral:lncRNA from 1 species
UUCAAGGCCCUAAGCCACUUUAUUUCAUCUUCAUACCCUUUUUCUUUUGAGAUAUUUAAUCAUAUACUUAUUUUUAACAUUAAAAUUAUAAAUAAAAAUCACCGUCCAUGAUAAUAUCCCACCAGGUUCAUACAAGAGGCCACUUAAUUUCAAGGCCUUAACUGCCACUUUAUUUCAUCUUCAUACCCUUUUUCUUUUGAGAUAUUGAGUCAUAUACUUAUUCUUAGCACUAAAACUAUAAAUAAACCCUAUA